rnacentral:rRNA from 1 species
AUUGAACGCUGGCGGCAUGCCUUACACAUGCAAGUCGAACGGUAACAGGUCUUUCGGGCUGCUGACGAGUGGCGAACGGGUGAGUAAUACAUCGGAACGUGCCUAGUAGUGGGGGAUAACUACUCGAAAGAGUGGCUAAUACCGCAUGAGAUCUAUGGAUGAAAGCAGGGGACCUUUGGGCCUUGUGCUACUAGAGCGGCCGAUGGCAGAUUAGGUAGUUGGUGGGGUAAAAGCUUACCAAGCCUACGAUCUGUAGCUGGUCUGAGAGGACGAUCAGCCACACUGGGACUGAGACACGGCCCAGACUCCUACGGGAGGCAGCAGUGGGGAAUUUUGGACAAUGGGCGCAAGCCUGAUCCAGCAAUGCCGCGUGCAGGAUGAAGGCCUUCGGGUUGUAAACUGCUUUUGUACGGAACGAAAAGUCUUGGGUUAAUACCCUGGGAUCAUGACGGUACCGUAAGAAUAAGCACCGGCUAACUACGUG